UCCGCAAAGAUGAUAAAAUCACUCUUCGACUAACACAGUCAUUAUCCCUACACAUUUCGAGGGCCCAUGCAAAGCCUCUCUAUCUUCUUCGGGUUGCUUCCUACCGGCUUCCAUCGGUACUAGAGCUUUUGAUGGCCAUGAACGAGGAGGUCCUCGGCCUCCUUGUGUUCAAGGAGGUGUUGUAGGACUUGAUGGUCUCGCUGGUGUCGUGGAAGGAGGCCGAAGCCUCCCCCUCAUCCACUACAACUGGACACUCAUCCAAUGGGACGACGGGACUAGGUGUGUCACCCGCCUUGUACUCGAGUGUGCUUUUAGAUAAAACUGGGAUGAAGGCCUUGGUUUUUUUGGGGGGUGCGCCAGCAGAUAACAACUCAUUCAUUCAUUGGGCACCAGACUCUGUCAUCAAUGCCUUAGAAUCGGUCGACAGGUUCUGCUGGAGCAGAUCAUAAUCCAAUUCCAAGCUCAUCACCAAGUCCAACGACAUCAAUAUUAAAAUAUCAGAUCUUGGGAGGGCACUUGCUUGCAUCUGUUCUUCAACAAUGGUGGUGGCAUCAGAACAGCACGAGCAAAUGCAAACAAAGAACAGUCAAUAGGAGGCGAGGAGGAGAAAGCAAGGGCAAAUAGCACAAAAGAAAGAUAUCUUAUAUGUUUCAAGCAUAUAUAUAUUUAUACAUGGUGAAUAUUUACACUCCUCAGGAGCAAAGCUAAGCUUUUUUUACAA